rnacentral:rRNA from 1 species
AACGAACGCUGGCGGCAGGCCUAACACAUGCAAGUCGAACGGGCGUAGCAAUACGUCAGUGGCGCACGGGUGAGUAACGCGUGGGUACCUGUCUGAUGGUAGGGGAUAACCGCGGGAAACUGCGGCUAAUACCCUAUGUGUCCUUCGGGACAAAGAUUUAUCGCCAUCAGGUGGGCCCGCGUAGGAUUAGCUAGUUGGUGAGGUAACGGCUCACCAAGGCGACGAUCCUUAGCUGGUCUGAGAGGACGAUCAGCCACACUGGGACUGAGACACGGCCCAGACUCCUACGGGAGGCAGCAGUGGGGAAUAUUGGACAAUGGGGGCAACCCUGAUCCAGCCAUGCCGCGUGAGUGAUGAAGGCCUUCGGGUUGUAAAGCUCUUUUGGCGGGGACGAUGAUGACGGUACCCGCAGAAUAAGCUCCGGCUAACUUCGUGCCAGCCGCCGCCGUAA